GAGGUUGUGGCUCAGUGAUAGAGCAUCUGCUUAGCGUGCAGAAGGUCCCAGGUUCAAUCCCUGGCAUCUCCA